CACGUAGGUCCCGAGCGUUGUCCGGAUUUAUUGGGCGUAAAGCGAGCGCAGGUGGUUUAUUAAGUCUGGUGUAAAAGGCAGUGGCUCAACCAUUGUAUGCAUUGGAAACUGGUAGACUUGAGUGCAGGAGAGGAGAGUGGAAUUCCAUGUGUAGCGGUGAAAUGCGUAGAUAUAUGGAGGAACACCGGUGGCGAAAGCGGCUCUCUGGCCUGUAACUGACACUGAGGCUCGAAAGCGUGGGGAGCAAACAGG
rnacentral:rRNA from 1 species